rnacentral:rRNA from 1 species
AUGAACGCUAGCGGCAGGCUUAAUACAUGCAAGUUGAGGGGCAGCAUGAUAUACGCGAGUAUAUUGAUGGCGACCGGCGGACGGGUGAGUAAUAGGUAGGAGACCUACCUCAUACAGGGGGAUAGCAUAGAGAAAUCUGUGGUAAUACCCCAUGAGGUUAUAUGAAUAGAGGCAUAUAAUCAAAGCAUAAGCGAUUAUGCGGUAUGAGAGGGGCCUACUGACCAUUAGCUAGUUGGUGAGGUAAGGGCUCACCAAGGCGAAGAUGGUUAGGGGUUUUGAGAGAGAGACCCCCCACAUUGGAACUGAGAGACGGUCCAGACUCCUACGGGAGGCAGCAGUAGGGAAUAUUGGGCAAUGGGCGAAAGCCUGACCCAGCCAUGCCGCGUGAAGGAAGACGGCCUUAUGGGUUGUAAACUUCUUUACUACGCGAAUACAGGUUAGUACGAGAUACUAAUAGGAAGGUAGUGUAGUAAAAAGCACCGGCUAACUCCGUG